AUUGAACGCUGGCGGCAGGCCUAACACAUGCAAGUCGAACGAGUGGCGGACGGGUGAGUAAUGUCUGGGAAACUGCCCGUUGGAGGGGGAUAACUACUGGAAACGGUAGCUAAUACCGCAUACCAUCGGACUUGCCCCGAUGGGUUUAGCUAGUAGGUGGGGUAACGGCUCACCUAGGCGACGAUCCCUAGCUGGUCUGAGAGGAUGACCAGGCACACUGGAUCUGAGACACGGUCCGGAUUCCUACGGGAGGCAGGAGUGGGGAAGAUUGCACAUUGGGCGCAAGCCUGAUGCAGCCAUGCCACGUGUAUGAAGAAGGCUUUCGGGUUGUAAAGUACUUUCAGCGAGUAGGCCUUACUCGCAAAAGAAGCACCGGCUAACUCCGUGCCAGCCGCCGCGGUAAUAC
rnacentral:rRNA from 1 species